rfam:Helianthus annuus linkage group 3, whole genome shotgun sequence.
ACGACCUUGCUUGAACAGGAUUUGUUCUAUAGGCUCGUACCUCUGUAUUCUUGAUUCCUAAGAAGACAGAAACCCAUGUUUCGUUGAUGAACCAGGACCAUUUAACCAUAGCGUGAUUAACAGAGCUCAUGGUCUUGACCAUGGCGGGUUGGCGCUCAGUAGAGGAUCGCUGCCCGUCCAUCUGAUGGGUCCUGGCGCUUAGUAAAUU